GCAGGCUAGGCCUGUACAAUUGGGAUAGUUCCUUGAAGCUUGCGGCACUGCCUUUUUAGCUCCUCGUUGCCGCAGGAACGGACGUUUAUUUCUCGGAGUGAAGUUGGUAGGCGGUCCUUGGGUAGCGAGCCGAUGGUUGUGCCAUCAAGUGAGCUGAUGGAUGGACAGUCAUAAAUCACUAGUUGUUGCAGUGAAUUGGGGAGGUUUCCAAGCGAGCUGAUGGCUGGACAGUAAGAAAUCCCUAGUCGUUGCAGUGAAUUGGGGAGGUUUCCAAGCGAGCUGAUGGCUGGACAGGAAGAAAUCUCUAGUUGUUGCAGUGAAUUGGGGAGGUUUCCAAGCGAGCUGAUGGCAAGACAUCCAUAGAUCCCUAAUGUCUUGAUGUUGGGGAUUUCACUAAGCCCAGUAGGGAGGGACUGCAGUUUUUUGCACCUCGAAAAUUCUAGGUCCUCAAUGGAGGUGAGAAUGUGAAGGGCCUUCUCUCAUAACUUAUUAUGAGAGAUUAUAAUAAGUUAUGUUAUUUAUUCAGAAAACAGCAGAGGGUUCAACAACAAAUUCUAAAAUUGUGUAAAAGAUAGUGAUGCUCUGACCAACUGAAUAUAAGAAAGUUGGAAGCAUCCAAGUAACAAAAACAAUAGGCAUCAGUUCCGCAUUUGUAGGUUCUAUGGGGAUGAUGAGUGAUGACUAACCAGUUGUAUACUUGUAUGUAUGUACCAAGUCACAGUAACAAAUGCAGAUAGAGCAGGGCUAUAAGAACCCCACAUGGUACCUGCAAAAAAAAAAAAAAGAAUGAACUGAUGUUGAUGUGCUAGGAAGAAAAUGGAAAGAGCAGCAACUGGAUAGUGAAAUAUGGGGAAGAAGAGAGAGUAGUAGAGAGAUUGAAGUGCUUGUUACCUUGGUGCAAGCUAGGCCUUUACAAUUGGGAUAGUUCCUUGAAGCUUCCGGCACUGCCUUUUUAGCUCCUCGUUGCGACAGUAACGGACGUCUAUUUCUCGGAGUGUAGUUGGUAGGCGGUCUUUGGGCAGUGAGCGGAUGGUUGUGCCAUCAAGCGAGCUGAUGGAUGGACAGUCAUCAAUCUUUAGUUGUUGCAGUGAAUUGGGGAGGUUUCCAAGCGAGCUGAUGGCUGGACAGCAAGAAAUCCCUAGUCGUUGCAGUGAAUUGGGGAGGUUUCCAAGCGAGCUGAUGGCUGGACAG
rnacentral:lncRNA from 1 species